rnacentral:rRNA from 1 species
CCUACGGGUGGCAGCAGUGAGGAAUAUUGGUCAAUGGACGGAAGUCUGAACCAGCCAUGCCGCGUGCAGGAUGACGGCCCUAUGAGUUGUAAACUGCUUUUGUAUUAGGGUAAAAACCCCUACGCGUAGGGGCUUGAAAGUAUCAUACGAAUAAGGAUCGGCUAACUCCGUGCCAGCAGCCGCGGUAAUACGGAGGAUACAAGCGUUAUCCGGAUUUAUUGGGUUUAAAGGGUGCGUAGGCUGUGAGGUAAGUCAGCGGUGAAAUGCCCCCGCUCAACGGGUUGAAGUGCCAUUGAUACUGGCUUGCUGGAAUGCGGAAGCCGUGUGAGGAAUGUGUGGUGUAGCGGUGAAAUGCAUAGAUAUCACACAGAACACCGAUUGCGAAGGCAGCUCACGAAUCCGCGAUUGACGCUGAUGCACGAAAGCGUGGGUAUCAAACAGGAUUAGAUACCUCAGUAGUC